CUUGGCGACCAUAGCGUUUUGGACCCACCUGAACCCAUUCCGAACUCAGAAGUGAAACAAAAUAGCGUCGAUGGUAGUGUGGGGUUUCCCCAUGUGAGAGUAGAACAUCGCCAGGC
rnacentral:rRNA from 1 species